rnacentral:rRNA from 1 species
CAAUAGCGUAUAUUAAAGUUGUUGCAGUUAGAACGCUCGUAGUCGGAUUUCGGGGCGGGCCGACCGGUCUGCCGAUGGGUACGCACUGGUCGGCGCGUCCUUCCUUCCGGAGACCGUGCCUACUCUUAACUGAGCGGGGGCGGGAGACGGAUCGUUUACUUUGAAAAAAUCAGAGUGUUUCAAGCAGGCAGCUCGCUCUUGCAUGGAUUAGCAUGGGAUAAUGAAAUAGGACUUUGGUGCUAUUUUGUUGGUUUCGAACACCGAAGUAAUGAUUAACAGGGACAGUCAGGGGCACUCGUAUUCCGCCGAGAGAGGUGAAAUUCUCAGACCAGCGGAAGACGAACUACUGCGAAAGCAUUUGCCAGGGAUGUUUNCACUG